UGAAGAAUUACAUCUUCUCAGGACA
rnacentral:tRNA from 1 species